rnacentral:rRNA from 1 species
GACGAACGCUGGCGGCGUGCUUAACACAUGCAAGUCGAACGGAAAGGUCCUGCUUUUGUGGGGUGCUCGAGUGGCGAACGGGUGAGUAACACGUGAGUAACCUGUCCUUGACUUUGGGAUAACUUCAGGAAACUGGGGCUAAUACCGGAUAGGAGCUCCUGCUGCAUGGUGGGGGUUGGAAAGAUUCGGCGGUUGGGGAUGGACUCGCGGCUUAUCAGCUUGUUGGUGGGGUAGUGGCUUACCAAGGUUUUGACGGGUAGCCGGCCUGAGAGGGUGACCUGCCACAUCGGGACUGAGAUACGGCACAGACUCGUACGGGAGGCAGCAGUGGGGAAGGUUGCACAGUGGGCGGAAGCCUGAUGCAGCAACGCCGCGUGCGGUAUGACGGCCUUCGGGUUGUAAACCGCUUUCGCCUGUGACGAAGCGUGAGUGACGGUAAUGGGUAAAGAAGCACCGGCUAACUACGUG